GGUGCGAAAGGAUUUUGGCCAAUCCUCUCCUCGCGCGCGGCAUGCUUCCAGUCGUGGAACCCUAGACCCCUUUCCCCAAUCCCACGGCCGCCUCCAUCCUCCCGUGCUCCACCCCGAGCGGGCUCCGCCUCCUCCUCCUCCUCCACCAUCCCUUCUCCUGUCGCAGCCGCAUUGGGGAGGCCAGGUUUUCUCGCUGGGGGGGAGGAGCUGUGGACGGCCAGCAGGCCAGCGGCGGGAGGCAGCCAGGCCGGCCUGCCGUCUCUCCCCCGGAACUGGCCAGCGGCCGAAUUUCUGGCUGGGAUGAGGAGUUUGUCCUCCCUGCAAUGCUCGUCAUCGAGGACAGCCUGGUCUGCAAAUCGCGGCCCUCCUAUGCCGGGCUACACGACGGGUCUUACCGAACAGCGCUGGCCAGCAGCAGGUGCUAACCUUCGGUUUACCACUUGUCGCUUUGGUCUGACAGGAUGCUAGCAGUUGUAGUUCUGCUCAUUUGGAGGACACAUAUGGCAAACUGUGACAUCAUGAUAGCAGUUGCUCAGAGUGAUUGUUCCCAAUUAUUCUACAUUUUAAUUGUAUCGACUGGGCGACAGCGAGCGCCGGUGAGUGCAAGCAUGUGUCUCUAGAAGCGUCCUCUCCUACAAGGCAGGCAAGGACGACGUCAUCGCCCUCAUAGGUCCUCCUCCCAUCCCUUUUGCUCCCCCUGCCUCCUCACCUUGCCUUUGAGUCGGAUGCAAUGUAAGAUAGCCCGCAGGCAAGCUCAAGCUGGAGGCGAUGAAAUCCCUCUCUUGUGCCAGAAUCUAACUUCUUAUUUGUGCAGUGUUCUUUUGCUUCUAUGUACUGUUUUUGCUCUGACCAGAUCGUUCCCAUUUGUUUGGAGGUUCUACGAUCUGUUGCAUCUCUGUUCUUCUCGUUAAGGUUAGCUGCUCUAUUUCCUAGGUACACGUGUAUUAUCGUUUAUGUCGGUGCUAUCAUGGUGCUUGGUCUGCUGAUCAUUUUAAUGUUCUGGAUCUGGGGUGUGGCUGCAAGAGAGGGGAGGCAGCCAAUGACAGGGAGAAGGAGCAGGACGUCGAGGAGUGCAAGUAGAAGGCAAACACAUCGAGACAUUGGAAGAAAUAGACGUGUUGUACAAGGAGUGGGCUUUACAGUCUGGUAUUAAGCACCGGGUAGGAGUUCCUUCUUUUGGUGGUGAGCUCAUGUUCAUUUCAGAUCCGGUGGAUAUUACGGAAAUCCUGCCUUAUGUUUGCACAAUUGGCAGUUUCCAACCUUAGAGGCUCGGCAGGUUGGUUGGAUCUGUUGUAUGAGGUAGGCUUCAGGCCAACGGAAGAUGAUUUACCGGAUGACUGCCACCACAGUUUUUCGGGGUUCCGUGUGCACCUGUGACAUUCUGUAUAAAUUUGGAGGCCACAGGUGACAAUUGCUACAUCUAUUGUGUUCUGUCACCGUUUUUACCUUCGUCAGUCUCAUGCAACAAAUGAUAGACGAUCCAAUAGAAGUUGGCGCUGAAGCUAGCAGCAGACUCUGUAGAUGUCAAAACAACUUGUACUUUUGUGAACUGCAGGGGGUGGUUAUAAAAAGUAGGUAUUUUCUAUGAGGAUAAGAUGCACAGAUGUACACCCUCUUGGUGUGAUGUGGGGAUUUUAGUUUAGAAGAGCCUGAGACCUUGUUACUAAAUAGCAGUUCACAGAUGGGCACACCAUUUUAUCAAUUAUGCAGGGUUGAGGGUUUAUCAUGAAUAUUUUGGCUGGUACAGCUCUCAAACACCCAGCAGAGUUGAUUUAGGCCCAGUUACUCUUAAAUUAUUGAACGUGAAAGCAUUUGAAAAUCACCCUAUCCAUGAAGUAGUACCAAGCGUGUUUACUGAAAUAGGAGUGCAUGUGAUUUCUUGUGUUCUUAUCUGCAGCAGAAGUGGUAAUGGUGUGAUUUUCCUCUAUGUCUUGACAGAAUAUUAGUACUCUACACUAUUUGUUAUGCAGUUAUUCUUAUUUUUUCAUGGCGAAUGGGCAAAUGAAGUCUGAAUCUAACAUAUAUACAGACAAUCGCUACUGUCUGCAUGUUCUUGGCUAGAAGAGUCGAAGAAACACCUAGGCCUUUGAAGGAUGUCAUCCUGGUUUCUUACGAGCUUAUUUAAAAAGGAUCCUGCUGCUGGUCAGAAAAUCAAGCAGAGGGUAAUGUAAUGGAUCCAAUUUGAUGCUUCUUUUGCUAUGGAUUGUUCUUUGGUGAACCUUUUUCCCUUUAAAAAAGUUGUAGCAUGUCCAUGACCUGAUCUCACCCUAUAAAUCUUGUUGUUCUUAUACAAUAAUAGAAAAUAACUUCAGAAAUAUAGCCAGUAGAAGGCUGGCUAUUUCUAUCAGAAUCCUAACCUUUUCUCAUCAGUAUAUCAUUUAUUUUGGAAUUA